rnacentral:lncRNA from 1 species
CAAGACUCUCAAUUUAGACAUUUUAAAUUUUAUUUAUAUUUGUAAUUUAAUUUUUUAAACUUUUUAGACAAACUCUUUACUUCUUGGGCCAUUUUUUGGUAAAAGAUGUGAGGCCCAAAUAGUGAUUUAGGUUUAGAAUAUUUUAUUUUUAUUUUGUUAAAAAAAAUGAAAAAAAAAGUAAGAAGAAAAGAAAAAAAGAAGAAAAAAAGAAAAAAAAAGAGAAAAGGAAAAAAAAAGAAACAAAGAAGAUAAGAAAAAAAAAAGAAAAAAAAAAGCACACGUUGAUUUCAAUUCCAAAAAAAAAGUGGCAGACGUGGAUUUAAAUUUCUUUUAGAAAAAGCAUAAAUUUAAUUGAUGCUGCAAAAAUAAAUAUUAAGAGAGAAUGNACUGAUUCAUUGGAGGGGGCCUGCUUAAAGAAGUGAACACCAUGAUGGAGCUAGAAAGCUAUUACGGUGCUUCAAAAAGAAAAUGUUGGAUUCAAUUUGUUCAAGAAUUGGCAGCACAUCGAACACGUGAAAGUGGGCUGAAGAUACCACGUCCACAAGGGGGCACAUAACCCUAGGUAGGGAUAUAUUCCCUGUAGCCGUCACCCUAGGGGGGAUGGUCACAACUUGGAAAAAAAGGUAGCUCAUCACUUGAAGAAAAGAAAUCAUGGAAGAAGACGUAAAUUGAAUUUUAAUUGCAUCUUGCACACGGUCCAGGGAA